rnacentral:rRNA from 1 species
GAUGAACGCUGGCGGCGUGCUUAACACAUGCAAGUCGAACGGGGAACAAAUUAUUGAAGCUUCGGCAGAUCUAGCUUGUUCCUAGUGGCGGACGGGUGAGUAAYGCGUGGGUAACCUGCCUCGCACUGGGGGAUAACAGUCAGAAAUGGCUGCUAAUACCGCAUAAGCGCACAGUACCGCAUGGUACAGUGUGAAAAACUCCGGUGGUGUGAGAUGGACCCGCGUUGGAUUAGCUAGUUGGCAGGGCAGCGGCCUACCAAGGCGACGAUCCAUAGCCGGCCUGAGAGGGUGAACGGCCACAUUGGGACUGAGACACGGCCCAGACUCCUACGGGAGGCAGCAGUGGGGAAUAUUGCACAAUGGGGGAAACCCUGAUGCAGCGACGCCGCGUGAAGGAAGAAGUAUCUCGGUAUGUGAACUUCUAUCAGCAGGGAAGAAAAUGACGGUACCKACUAWGAGCCCCGYYUMCUUYCG